rnacentral:tRNA from 1 species
GCCCCUAUAGCUCAGUCGGAUAGAGCAGUGGUUUCCUAAACCAUGUGCCCCAGGUUCGAUUCCUGGUAGGGGCA